rnacentral:rRNA from 1 species
UCUGCAACUCGACUACAUGAAGCUGGAGUUGCUAGUAAUCGCGAAUCAGCAUGUCGCGGUGAAUACGUUCCCGGGCCUUGUACACACCGCCCGUCACACCAUGAGAGUUGGCAAUACCCAACGUACGUGAUCUAACCCGCAAGGGAGGAAGCGUCCUAAGGUAGGGUCAGCGAUUGGGGUGAAGUCGUAACAAGGUACC